rnacentral:rRNA from 1 species
AUUGAACGCUGGCGGCAGGCCUAACACAUGCAAGUCGAACGGUAACAGGAAGCAGCUUGCUGCUUUGCUGACGAGUGGCGGACGGGUGAGUAAUGUCUGGGAAACUGCCCGAUGGAGGGGGAUAACUACUGGAAACGGUAGCUAAUACCGCAUAACGUCGCAAGACCAAAGAGGGGGCCCUUAGGGCCUCUUGCCAUCGGUUUGGCCCAGAGGGGAUUAGCUAGUAGGUGGGGUAACGGCUCACCUAGGCGACGAUCCCUAGCUGGUCUGAGAGGAUGACCAGCCACACUGGAACUGAGACACGGUCCAGACUCCUACGGGAGGCAGCAGUGGGGAAUAUUGCACAAUGGGCGCAAGCCUGAUGCAGCCAUGCCGCGUGUAUGAAGAAGGCCUUCGGGUUGUAAAGUACUUUCAGCGGGGAGGAAGGGAGUAAAGUUAAUACCUUUGCUCAUUGACGUUACCCGCAGAAGAAGCACCGGCUAACUCCGUG